AUGUCGCCAUGUGAGAAGCACGGCAAGGCAUCUGAGAGGCUUGUCGCAUUUGAAGGAAUAGACACAGGGAGAAGGUUCCUAGCAUGUGCAGAGCCGGAAGGGCAGAAUUGUGGGUUUGUUGAAUGGGUUGAUCACCAGUGGCCCCCAACAAUGCAAAAUGCAUUGUUGAAGCUGUGGGCCAUGGUUGAAGAUAGCAAGAGUGCUAGGGUGAAUGAUAAUCUUGAAAGUUCUUUCACUAUCCACCAUCUGACAGAAGAGAAGAACAAGCUGGAGGCCAACUAUGACAAGUUAGUCCAAGAUGUGCAUGAACUUAUGAGCUUCCAGGAGGACAGGGUGGUGGAUUUAAGAUAUCUGCAGGAUAACCUUACAUAUCAGCAGCAAUGCAGAAGUGAACUGCUGGCUGAUAUGAAGGCACAGAUGGCAAAGAAAGAUGCAGAGUUUGAGAAGCUUAAGCAGAAUUAUGAAGUGCUACUGAACCUGACAAGAGCACAAGCAACAGUCAUCCAGAACUUGAAGUUGAAGCAUAUUAAAGACAAGUAA
rnacentral:rRNA from 1 species